rnacentral:lncRNA from 1 species
AUUGUUGCAGAAGCAGCAAAAAAAUCUUAGUGAACGAGGACAUCAAGGAACGGACUAGCAGCAUCAAAAUGACUAUAUUCCGUAGCCAAACAGAUCGUUCUCUCCAACACUCGGUGUCCAGGAACCAUCUUAUCCUCAAAGAUUAGGCUAUUUCUGGAAAGCCAAAUCUAACAGGUGAUGUAAGCCAACCUACCCCUCCAAGUGGAGGUCAUCCUAUCAGCUACACUCUCGUGGAUCGUGCUCAAGAAAGACACCAACCAAUCACCCCAGUCGUCUCCCAAGAUUGGCUGUCAGCCCUCCUCCAAAUCAGUUUGACCCUCGGACAGCAUAGGAUGGCAUUCUUUGUUAACUCAUCCUCCAGUCCGCAGAUCGGAUAAGAAACUGGCAACUCUAUGCCCCUAUCUCUAAUAAGCAUGCGCGUCAGAAGUCGGUGCCAUGCAAACUUUCAGAGAAAGAAUAUCACUCUGGAGUGGGUGGAUACUUUUCAAAUCCAAGCAGCCUCGAUCCUCGUAAUCAUCUCAACUUGCACAUCUCAGAAAGAUCCCUCAAGAAAAUCCUAGGACAGCAAGAUUGGCCCCAUACUCUCAGAUCCUGGCUAUGGUAAAUCAGAACAGGAGUAGUGAGGACCCAAUCAGUAAACAAAUCGCCAAAUAAUCUGAUGAUCUCCUAUACUCUCCAGUCCCUACCAUUGGUGUUGAGUAGAUUGCAGUCAUGCAAAUGAUCAUCCAUCUCAUUACUAAUAUAGGUCGGCCACUGGAACAAAGAAAGGCUGGAAAUCCAAGCAUCCUGACUCACAACCACCGAAAUUCUGUCCCCAAUCAACCAUUUGACCUGAGCCAAAACAACAAGCCCACAAAGACAAAUCUCCUUCCAAAGAAAAAAGUAUCACGAAGAGCCUCGAUCUGGGACUUCUGGCUCCACGCCCCAUACCAAACCUUCAUCAUCCUGCUCCAAAAAUAGCUGAUUGAUAAGAAAUCUGACGGUAUAUUUGAAAAUCAUAGCCUCCCUCUUGAUUACUAAGGACUGAAUCUCUAGACUACCAUCCCUCAAAGAUUGACAAACUAUCUCCUAGAAUAACAAGUGGAUCCCAUGCCGAUCAUUCUCCAAGCUCUACAGGAAAUUUCAAAAAUCGCUGCUCCGGUCCUUUGAGAUAAAACUAGAAUGACCAUGUUUGGCCAAG